rnacentral:rRNA from 1 species
UACGAAGGGGGCUAGCGUUGCUCGGAAUUACUGGGCGUAAAGCGCACGUAGGCGGAUUGUUAAGUCGGGGGUGAAAUCCUGGAGCUCAACUCCAGAACUGCCUUCGAAACUGGCGAUCUUGAGUCCGGGAGAGGUGAGUGGAACUGCGAGUGUAGAGGUGAAAUUCGUAGAUAUUCGCAAGAACACCAGUGGCGAAGGCGGCUCACUGGCCCGGUACUGACGCUGAGACGCGAAAGCGUGGGGAGCGAACAGG